AAAAUUUAAAAUGAAAAUACUAAAAUAGUAAAUAAAUAUUUAUUGAAACUUAAAUAAUUUGGCGGUAUUUUAGUUCAUUUAGAGGAAUCUGUCUAUUAAUUGAUAUUCCACGAAUAAAUUUACUUAAUUUUAUAAUUUUGUAUAUCGUUGUUAAAAAAAUAUUUUUUAAUAAAAUUAAUAUUUUAAAAUUAUUAAUAAAAUUUAAAUCAAAUCAAGAUGCAGAUUAUAAUUAAGAAUAUUGAUGGAUUACAAUAAAUUUAUUUAAAUGAAUAUUGAUUUGUAAUAAUUAAUUGAAAGUGGAUUUAAAUGUAAUUUUAUUUAAUUUAAUAAAAUGAUUAAAAAUUAAGAUAUGU
rnacentral:rRNA from 1 species